GGGCGAGUAUGCAAGAGGCUAAAGCAGACGGACUGUAACUCCGUUCUCGUUUGAGUUCGUAGGUUCGAAUCCUACCUUUCCCACCA
rnacentral:tRNA from 1 species